AUUGAACGCUGGCGGCAUGCUUUACACAUGCAAGUCGAACGGUAACAGGUUAAGCUGACGAGUGGCGAACGGGUGAGUAAUGCAUCGGAACGUGCCCGAUCGUGGGGGAUAACGCAGCGAAAGCUGCGCUAAUACCGCAUACGAUCUGAGGAUGAAAGCGGGGGACCGUAAGGCCUCGCGCGAUCGGAGCGGCCGAUGUCAGUUUAGGUAGUUGGUGGGGUAAAGGCCCACCAAGCCGACGAUCUGUAGCUGGUCUGAGAGGACGACCAGCCACACUGGGACUGAGACACGGCCCAGACUCCUACGGGAGGCAGCAGUGGGGAAUUUUGGACAAUGGGCGAAAGCCUGAUCCAGCAAUGCCGCGUGCAGGAAGAAGGCCUUCGGGUUGUAAACUGCUUUUGUACGGAGCGAAAAGGUCCUUUCUAAUACAAGGGGCUCAUGACGGCACCGUAAGAAUAAGCACCGGCUAACUACGUGCCAGCCGCCGCAGUAAUAC
rnacentral:rRNA from 1 species